rnacentral:lncRNA from 13 species
ACUGUAAACCAUCAGACUGACCCACUGGCUAAGGACUACUACAGUAAACCAUCAGACUGACCCAAUGGCUACGGACUACUACAGUAAACCAUCAGACCGACCCACUGGCUAGGGACUACUACAGUAAACCAUCAGACUGACCCAAUGGCUACGGACUACUACAGUAAACCAUCAGACCGACCCACUGGCUAGGGACUACUACUGUAAACCAUCAGACUGACUCACUGGCUAGGAACUACUACGGUAAACCAUCAGACUGACCCACUG